rnacentral:rRNA from 1 species
GAUGAACGCUGGCGGCGUGCCUAAUACAUGCAAGUCGAACGAGGUGCUUUUGUAGCAAUACGAAAGUAUCCUAGUGGCGAACGGGUGAGUAACGCGUUGGUGACCUGCCCCAAAGUGUGGGAUAACAGACCGAAAGGUUUGCUAAUACCGCAUAAUCUGAUGGAAGACUAGAAGUCUGUCAGGGAAGGAGAAAUCCGCUUUGGGAGGGGCCUGCGACCCAUCAGCUAGUUGGUAAGGUAACGGCUUACCAAGGCGAUGACGGGUAGGGGACCUGAGAGGGUGGCCCCCCACAAUGGAACUGAAACACGGUCCAUACACCUACGGGAGGCUG